ensembl:lncRNA
CAAAUUCUUCCUUCUGAAAAAGUUAAAGGACAAAUAAUACAGAUGUAAAGCUUGAUUUGCAAACACCUUUGAAACCAUUCUGCAAAAGUCAAGUCAAGUGGGUUUUUGUCAGUUCUUCUAUAUAGCUUGUAUACAUUGGAACAAAAUGUCGUUUCUCCAGGACCAUGGUGCACAAGACUACGUGUGGGGAAAAACAAGUCGGAUGUCACUGUGGCUGAAUUCCGCAAAAAUAAAUAAAUAAAUAAAUAAAUACAUUUUUUUUUAAAAAAAAUCUGAGUUUAGCCUUAAGCAAUAUAACAUGAACAUGAGUGCUGUUGUAGUAAAUAUUAGCACAGCUGGAUAGAGCAUUGUGUGACUGACAGCUCGUAGUAAAUGUAAUAACCGUUUCAAAAGAUUUGAAGUAUUACUUGAACUGGAAGUUUUAUGUAGUGAACACAGAUAAGUGGAGUGAUAUAAACCAGUACCAGUUAUAUUAUAGUAAAUAUCAGCACUCUUAGAACACCACUUGUCCCAAUCAAAUUUGUGGACCAGAACUAACUGUUGUUAAAUAUAUUUUUACACCACAACCAUAAAUAUAUUUAACCAGGACAGCAUGGAAAUGUUGUUGUUUUUACUUUUUAAUCUUGCCUAGCCUUUCUGCAAAGAUCACAUUGGGUAAAUAAGUAUACAAAGGCAGUUGUAAAAACAGUUAGACUACAAAAAUAUGUCUAAAACCUCGACACCUGAUUUAAUCGUGCAAUGAAUGUCACACUUUCAUUGUUGGAUAGUUACUGUACCUGCCAUAUCAAAAUGGACAUAAGCCUAAUCAAUUCCAUUUGUAAUUGCGGUGUAAACAUCACACUUCUACACAAUACAAUACGAUUUUGGUUCAUAGAGCAAUGAUUUGAUACGGUAUUUGAUGAGAACACUGAAUCUGCUACAAUACAAUACAAUGUGAUUCAAUUUAGAAGAUCUAUAUAUAUAGACCAAUUUUUUUUUCUAAAUCAAGAGAAGGCCUAUCGUUUAUUUCUAAAUGAUGACGAUGUAGAGAAAACUAGUUUAACUAGUUUAUCAGUUACAAGCAAAUCAUUUUGCUAGGCUAUUAAAUCAUUUACACAUCAAUUUAAAAACCAUGAAUGAUUUUUUUACAUAUCAGUUGCCUGUCUUUUUUCAAUAAUAAUCAAUAAUUCAUAAUCAGUUCUAAUUGAUCUCUAAACAAUUUAUGAUCGUUACAUUGAUUCAUCUCGAUCAGUCCAAAUCAUCCAAACAUUACACAUCAGAUACCAGCUGCAGAAAUGUCCCACAUGCUCCUGUGCUGCAGUCAGAAUGGAAACUUUAAACGCAAUUUUCUCCCAUUUCACUUUUGGGUAGAAUGUGUUAACUUUACUUGUGGUUGAGAUUAGUGGUUGACCGAUAUAUCGCCAAGGCAUCGCCAUCGAUAAAUCUUCCCAUUCGGCUGAAAAGUGACAAGCCGAACUUUUGACACCAUUAUAGCGCAUUCUUCAUAAUUCUGGCAAAAAAAAAAGCCCACUCAGACAUGACGAGAGCAUCUAACAGACAGUAAAAUGACCAGUCUUCAUUUGCUUUUUAAUGUGCCAUUAUGCAAUGUUACUCACAACAACGCUAUGGCGUGCAACAAAGUCUUAUUCAAACAGUACCGUGAGAAGUUAGAUCCGCAGCCCAGCGCUAGUGAACAAGCUCAUGGUGAGCUCCGGCAGAGACACAGAGACGUGCAAUAAACAAAUUCAAACAAAUCUGAAAACAUUUUACCUCACAAACAAUCACAAAUCCUGUGACUGGUUCUUCCUUAGAGACACAUGUUGUCUUCUGUAACUUUUAAACAUUGUUUUACUGGGACUCAAAAGCCUGUGUAUCCCGAAUGAAAGCUUGGUCAUUUGAGCUGGAUGAACCCUGAACAUUGUAUGGUUUAGUGUUAUAUUAAUCCACGAUUAAUUCAAUAUCAUGUGUAGUGCACAUUUUCAUGUGUUCCAAUCUUUUUUGAUGCUAAGCUACAUGCUACUAACUAAUCAUGUAAUGGUAAGAAACAUAAACCUUUUGUCAUGCGGGCUUGUAUUAUUUUUACAAAGAGGCAGAUAAUCAAAACACAACAGACAUAAAUAUGUAUUAUUCAAAUAAUGUCCUAUACUUUGACUUAAGAAAGUAAAACAACCUGUUACUGCUUAAAGUAACUAUAUGAGAUGUAUGAAUAGCUAUAUAUUGUAGAUAAAAUAAAUUUUUAUGUAUUACACUUACUAUUUUUGUGUUUCAUUAAUGACUAUUGGUUAGAUUUGUUUAUUAAGUUAAUUAUAAAUGUUAUCAAUAACCUGUUACUGGAUUAAAGCAGCACUAAUUACUUAUGUGACGGGAAAAUCAAAUUAUACAUACGUUUUUUAAUUAAAAUGUUUUCUGUGUUCUGCUAGAUGGCUGGCACAGACAGCAAGACACAAGCAGAAGCUGCAAUAAAACUUAUUUAUUUUGACAUGUUCAAAGCUUGCUGAACUAAAACAUGUUUCUCUUUUGCAUGUAUCUCAACUAGUAGUCCACCGAUAUGGGGUUUUUAAUGAACAAUGUACAAAUGUACAUGUACAAAUUUCUUAAAUGGAUAUUUUGUAAAGUUCUUCAGAGAAUAUUACAUAAAUAUUAUGCGCAAUAAAUGCUCAUUUAGUUUCACCAAUUUUCUGUACAUCUAAUUUUCUGCAAUUAAAUUUAUGCUAUAUUGGCCACAAUGCUUUCUAGAUAUCAGCAUGGGCCAUUAAGAAACCCGUAUCGGUCAACCACUAGUUGAGAUACAUAUAAAAGAGAAACAUGUUUUAGUCAACAAGCCUUGAACAUGUCAAUUUCCAACAUGUGAAGGGUUUUUCCAGGCCAACGCAUCUUUUGCAGAAAUCUUUAUUGACUACCCAAGCAACUCCUGUUCAUUAUAAGUACGUUUUAAUUAAACAUGUUUUACUUAUUUUUCUCAGUACAGCAAAAUGUGUUGAAAUUCUUGCCUGCUGCAAUCACACAGAGAUGAGAUUCAUCUGAAAAAAAGGCUGGAUUAUUUCUUUAAGUAAUAUCAAUCAUGAAUUCAAUUAGUUGAGACUCUACGAUGCAAAAUCCAAACAUGUGUUCAUUUAUGAGGUCUGCAUGUCAGAAAUGACACUCAUAUAUACUACACAGCCUUCAAUUUUAUGUAAAAUAAUCACUGAGAGAAUGACAGAGGGACCAGUAUGAUUAGCUGAACAUUAGUCUCAUUUAUAUUUGAGAGAUAAAUAUUCACCUGCCUUCCCUAAGGACGAAUGUCAGGGUGGUUUAGCAUGGCUUGGAAGAGAAAAGGGGGGGGGGGGGGGGGGGGGGCAUGUACUCCUUAUAUAUAGUCAGCUUCUAGAGAAGCUUAUUCUGGCAAAGGUGCCUGAUGAAUGAGGUUCCUUUCUCCAGCUCUUUCAGGGAAAGAAAAUAAGCUCAACAUUGCAAUUUAGCAAGCUGUAUAAAUCAGUUCGUGACCACAAAUAAUUCUGCAAGGAGAGAAUUUAUAUGUUUAAUUACAGCAUGCAGGUGCCAGGCGUGUCUUCCUCAUUAUUCUAAGAUAUAUGAAACACGCUUAAUAACAUGUACACCAGCAGGACAAAAGGAAGACAAAGCAAUUAGUUGGGCAUUAUUUAAUAAGCUACUUCUAGGAGAUGCUCCACUUUGGCCUGGUACUUCAUAACCUACAUCUCAUUUCACAAUGAGAGUGUUCCAGAUUACUCUAGAAUGGUUGUCUGUGUUAAUUGGUAUUUACAUUUAUCAUUAUAAUAGUAAUUACAAGAGGUAGAUUUCUUUCCUUGUGCUAUUCUUCCUUGAGUAUAGUAGGCUACAGGAAGGGAGUGGAUAUUGUGGUCAAACAGUGGCAACCCUCACAUAGGGGGUGAAUUUUUACAGCCUUUGUGUUUGGAAAGGGACAACCAUUCAGCUCAUAUCUCCUCACAGCAUCAAACAAACAAUGUGAAAAAAGAAAAAAACUGAAGACACUGCCCUUCCAUGCAGGAGCCUGGAAGCAAAUCAACAUGCCAAUGCAGGUGGCAGGAGGUUCAAAUACCAAGCAGAUAAUGGUCACAAGAGAGCGAGAGCAAGUUAAAGAGCAGUGAUGUGAAAGCCACAUGUGUGCUGGGCUUCUCUUUUUUUUCACCACAGGCCAUAUGCCCUCACUGCACUCCUAGCCUGGAGAUAUUUAACCUGCCAGCACAACCAGGCCCAGAUCCUCUGUGUUUUCUAACCCCCCCUUUCGCUCUCUCUCUCCUGGAGUUACUCAGUGAUCCCUUCACAUGAGGCAGGACCUCACCUCGCUGCCAGCUUCCCUACAGCUGCUUGUACUUAUACACAUUCUGUAUUAAGCUUGGCCUGUGCUGGUUUGGCACUGUUUGGUAAACGGGCACUAGUGAACCAUGGGAAUAUCUUGGCUAGGCUGACCACAUGGCCAUGCCCAGAAUGACAUGGGCUGCCUGGCCUGAGUCAGUCUCACCGGACCCAUCUGGGCAUCGCGCCGGACACAAGCCAUUGACUAAAAUACUAUAUUUCACUCCAAUAUUACCCAAGCAAGCACGUCUUUGCUAUCCUGCUGGUGAAAACCAAAGGUCUAUUCAGACAAAAUACAUACCAAAGUUGUGAUAUGGUGUCUAUAGUUGUUUAUACAGGUGUACCAUUUCACUAUAGCAGAAAGCUUAAAGGAAAUGUCCACCCUAAACUACAUUAAAUAUGUUUAUAUUAAAAUAUUUGUAAUGUGCCUAGCAAUUCUGAUGAUUUUUUUUUGGUGGAUGCUGUAUUAUUGUUGUUCUCAUGAGCAUGAAAGUUAGUGGUUGUGUGAAGUGCUGAUGUCACAGAAAAAAAUUCAGCAAUCUCAAACAUAAAGAAAAACGAUCAAGUUUGAACCUAAAAACAAAAGAGCAAGAUAAAAAAGUGGACUCAAAGUUCCAGAAGGCAAUGCAGUUGUACGAAACAAUUACGCUAAGUUAUGUCAGAGAUUCAUUUUGGCUAGUUAGUGAUCUAUGAGAUGACAAGCAUGGCGGCAUUGACAACGGUAUUAGCAUGAAUAUCGAAGCUUUGAAACUGGAGCUGUUUGAGCAGAGUGUACAAGGUGAGAAGGUGAGAGAGCUGAACAGACUAACAGACUAAAAGACUGAAGUGCUGCUUCAUCAGUCCUGACAUAGAGCUGAAGCAAGGCCUAAAUCCUACUGCACCAUUAUCAGCAGGUACUGGAAAUGAACAGCAUUGUGGGAAGGAAACUGUUAACCAAAAGGAAACAGACCAACAUGUUAAUGAAGAAAUAAAAAACAACUCAGAAUUUCAUUGCAAAAUCAAUCUUUGAUGUCACUGAAGCUCACAUGUUAAUUAUUAAUAAGAGAAAAAUGCAAAAUGUUCAAGGUUGAUUUUACCUUUAAGGGUUGUUUUAAGCACAUAUAAAGCUUAAUAAUAAAUAUAAAAAUUCUGAUGAGAGAAAGAGAAGGCAGUUGUAAUACAAUUUAAACGUGCAGCAUUUAACAAGAGUGGACUCUAACUGAAAGUGAAGUGUCAUGAUGGCACCCAAAGGGCGUUGAACUACACUUUCCAUCAGCACCGGAAUGUCACAUGUUUUCAAUCACUCACACGUGUGUCUCAUCUCAGCCUGAUAACCGUUAUAUAAGUCAUUCCCUGCGUCCCAACUGGUAUACUAUCAGUACUAGCGUGUACAGAAUUAGUGUGUCCCAAAUGGUAAUAUAGUGAAAUUAGUACCUGGAUGGUCUACAAUUUAUGGUAGAUUUUUGAAGUGUGGAUCCGUGGACAUUUUUUCAGCUAUUACCCAUAAUCCCUUGCACGAGGGAGGAAAAGUUUUGUGAAGGUUUGCUUCACCAAAUUCAAGGAAGCAUUUUAAAGAGGUGUGAAUGAAAUUUGGAAAAUUUCUUAACAAAUAGAGUACAUACUUUUAUGUAUGCCAAUUGGGACGCAGGGACUAUGUUUCAGCAUCUGGUUGUCAAGCUUUUGUGUGUUGGUGUGUACCUUAGUCUCUAUCAUAGUCUUUAUGUUCCCUUUCAAAGGGAACUCAACGUUGCUUGAACUUCACGCUGUGGGAAGCUCCCUGUUUAUGACCCUGCGACGUUGGAUUAUUCGGCCAUCAUGGGGGAUAAACAUUACAGCUAUUUUGCUAUGCCGAAGGUACAGGAGGCACUUGCGAGCCACCUCUCUCCAUCGAUGCCAGCAAAAUCAGGAGGCCAGCUUUGCCAUCCAGGCCGUGUAAGACCACCUAUUCGUUGGUUGGUGAAGCCUACAUGGCAGCAAGACUUGCUUGUGGGUAUCAGCAAAAAUGGCAGUGUUGCAGGCCUACCAGGCAGAACUGCUGAAUUGCUAGGGGGCACAGAAGGUGAGUGUGGCAGCCUGCCUCCACCUGCAGAAAGCCAGGGGGACCGGGCAGCCACAGUUGCAGCCUGCUAGUAGGCCUGAUUUUAAAUGAUAAUCAGUGCCAAAAAGACAAAAAGAAGCAGUCCUGAAGGGCUGCGGAGGGAGGUAUCAGGGGACGAGAGGUUGUUAGGACAGUUAGCCCCCAGUAUUACUGUAGUGCUCCCCUAGUCAAUGUCGUCCCAAGUUUUCAGUUUUCUCUGGUCAGCGAGCUGUCACAGGGCAAGGAAAAUCUGAUGCUUUCCCUCCAACAAAAUGUGGAAAGUUAACGUCACUAGAGACCAUCUGGCAGCAUGGAAACUACAGCCAAAUGUGUCUCCAUGGGUUCUGUCUUCCAUAGAAAAGGGUUCCGGGCCCAGUUCAUAGCUCGACACCUCCCACAAUAGACAGCACAAUGCAGAGCCCGAUGUUAGCCCAAGAAGUGGAUCUCUCUUGGACAAAGGUGCCAUAUAACAUGUACCUCUUUCUCUGAGGCAGGGGG